UACAGAGGUCUCAAGCGUUGUUCGGAUUCAUUGGGCGUAAAGGGUGCGUAGGCGGCGCGGAAAGUCGGGUGUGAAAGUCAGGGGCUCAACCCUUGGAAGCCGGCCGAUACUGUCGGACUAGAGUCCGGAAGAGGCGAGUGGAAUUCCCGGUGUAGCGGUGAAAUGCGCAGAUAUCGGGAGGAACACCAAUGGCGAAGGCAGCUCGCUGGGACGGUACUGACGCUGAGACGCGAAAGCGUGGGGAGCAAACAGG
rnacentral:rRNA from 1 species